rnacentral:tRNA from 1 species
GGCUUUAUAGUCAAUUUAUAUGAUAUUAGACUGCAAUUCUAAAGUAGGAUUAAAAUAUCCUAAAGCUU